UCCGGUUGAUCCUGCCGGACCCUACUGCUAUCGGGGUGGGACUAAGACAUGCGAGUCGAGCGUCUCUAGUCAUGGUGAGACGCGGCAGACGGCUCAGUAACACGUGGCUAACCUACCCUCAGGACAGGGACAAACCCGGGAAACUGGGGCUAAUACCCAAUAGGCGAGGGCACCUGGAAUGGUUCUUCACCCAAAGGGCUUUGGAAGCAUGCUUUUCAACGUCGCCUGGGGAUGGGGCCGCGUCCGAUCAGGUUGUUGGUGAGGUAACGGCUCACCAAGCCUAUAACCGGUACGGGCCGUGAGAGCGGUAGCCCGGAGAUGGGCACUGAGACAAGGGCCCAGGCCCUACGGGGCGCAGCAGUCGCGGAAACUCCGCAAUGCACGAAAGUGUGACGGGGCUACCCCGAGUGCCGUCCGCUGAGGAUGGCUUUUCCCCGGUGUAACAAGCCGGGGGAAUAAGGAGAGGGCAAGACUGGUGUCAGCCGCCGCGGUAAUACCAGCUCUCCGAGUGGUAGGGAUGAUUAUUGGGCUUAAAGCGUUCGUAGCCGGCUUAGCAAGUCUCCUGUUAAAUUCAGCGACCUAAUCGUUGACCCGCGGGAGAUACUACUAGGCUAGGAGGCGGGAGAGGCCGACGGUACUUCCGGGGUAGGGGUGAAAUCCUAUAAUCCCGGGAGGACCACCAGUGGCGAAGGCUGUCGGCUAGAACGCGCUCGACGGUGAGGGACGAAAGCUGGGGUAGCGAACCGGAUUAGAUACCCGGGUAGUCCCAGCUGUAAACUAUGCGGGCUAGGUGUUGGGGUGGCUACGAGCCACUUCAGUGCCGCAGGAAAGCCAUUAAGCCCGCCGCCUGGGGGAGUACGGCCGCAAGGCUGAAACUUAAAGGAAUUGGCGGGGGAGCACACAAGGCGUGAAGCU
rnacentral:rRNA from 1 species